rnacentral:rRNA from 1 species
CGCGAUCAGCGUCUAUAAUGCAGUCGACGAACUCUGGUAUUGAUUGGUGCUUGCAUCAUGAUUUACAUUUGAGUGAGUGGCGAACUGGUGAGUAACACGUGGGAAACCUGCCCAGAAGCGGGGGAUAACACCUGGAAACAGAUGCUAAUACCGCAUAACAACUUGGACCGCAUGGUCCGAGCUUGAAAGAUGGCUUCGGCUAUCACUUUUGGAUGGUCCCGCGGCGUAUUAGCUAGAUGGUGGGGUAACGGCUCACCAUGGCAAUGAUACGUAGCCGACCUGAGAGGGUAAUCGGCCACAUUGGGACUGAGACACGGCCCAAACUCCUACGGGAGGCAGCAGUAGGGAAUCUUCCACAAUGGACGAAAGUCUGAUGGAGCAACGCCGCGUGAGUGAAGAAGGGUUUCGGCUCGUAAAACUCUGUUGUUAAAGAAGAACAUAUCUGAGAGUAACUGUUCAGGUAUUGACGGUAUUUAACCAGAAAGCCACGGCUAACUACGUGCCAGCAGCCGCGGUAAUACGUAGGUGGCAAGCGUUGUCCGGAUUUAUUGGGCGUAAAGCGAGCGCAGGCGGUUUUUUAAGUCUGAUGUGAAAGCCUUCGGCUCAACCGAAGAAGUGCAUCGGAAACUGGGAAACUUGAGUGCAGAAGAGGACAGUGGAACUCCAUGUGUAGCGGUGAAAUGCGUAGAUAUAUGGAAGAACACCAGUGGCGAAGGCGGCUGUCUGGUCUGUAACUGACGCUGAGGCUCGAAAGUAUGGGUAGCAAACAGGAUUAGAUACCCUGGUAGUCCAUACCGUAAACGAUGAAUGCUAAGUGUUGGAGGGUUUCCGCCCUUCAGUGCUGCAGCUAACGCAUUAAGCAUUCCGCCUGGGGAGUACGGCCGCAAGGCUGAAACUCAAAGGAAUUGACGGGGGCCCGCACAAGCGGUGGAGCAUGUGGUUUAAUUCGAAGCUACGCGAAGAACCUUACCAGGUCUUGACAUACUAUGCAAAUCUAAGAGAUUAGACGUUUCCCUUCGGGGACAUGGAUACAGGUGGUGCAUGAUUGUCGUCAGCUCGUGUCGUGAGAUGUUGGGUUAAGUCCUGCAACGAGCGCACCUUAAUAAUCAGUUGACAGCAUGAGUGGCACUCUGAGAGACUGGCUGGUGACCAAAUCUGGAGGAAGGGUUGGGGGGAUUG